rnacentral:rRNA from 1 species
AGAGUGAACGCUGGCGGUAGGCCUAACACAUGCAAGUCGAACGGCAGCACGGGAGCAAUCCUGGUGGCGAGUGGCGAACGGGUGAGUAAUAUAUCGGAACGUGCCCAGUCGUGGGGGAUAACGCAGCGAAAGCUGUGCUAAUACCGCAUACGAUCUAUGGAUGAAAGCGGGGGAUCGCAAGACCUCGCGCGAUUGGAGCGGCCGAUAUCAGAUUAGCUAGUUGGUGGGGUAAAAGCCUACCAAGGCGACGAUCUGUAGCUGGUCUGAGAGGACGACCAGCCACACUGGAACUGAGACACGGUCCAGACUCCUACGGGAGGCAGCAGUGGGGAAUUUUGGACAAUGGGCGCAAGCCUGAUCCAGCAAUGCCGCGUGCAGGAUGAAGGCCUUGGUUGUAACUGCUUUGUACGUAACGAAACGGUUCUCUCUAAUACAGGGCUAAUGACGGUACCGUAAGAAUAAGACAACCGGCUAACUACGU